rnacentral:rRNA from 1 species
CCUACGGGUGGCAGCAGUGGGGAAUAUUGGACAAUGGGCGAAAGCCUGAUCCAGCCAUGCCGCGUGUGUGAAGAAGGCCUUCGGGUUGUAAAGCACUUUCAGUGGGGAAGAAAGCCUUGGGGCUAAUACCCUCGAGGAAGGACAUCACCCACAGAAGAAGCACCGGCUAACUCCGUGCCAGCAGCCGCGGUAAUACUGAGGGUGCGAGCGUUAAUCGGAAUUACUGGGCGUAAAGCGCGCGUAGGCGGUCUGAUAAGCCGGUUGUGAAAGCCCCGGGCUCAACCUGGGAACGGCAUCCGGAACUGUCAGGCUAGAGUGCAGGAGAGGAAGGUAGAAUUCCCGGUGUAGCGGUGAAAUGCGUAGAGAUCGGGAGGAAUACCAGUGGCGAAGGCGGCCUUCUGGACUGACACUGACGCUGAGGUGCGAAAGCGUGGGUAGCAAACAGGAUUAGAUACCCCGGUAGUC